rnacentral:rRNA from 1 species
GACGAACGCUGGCGGCGUGCUUAACACAUGCAAGUCGAACGGUGAAGCUCCAGCUUGCUGGAGUGGAUCAGUGGCGAACGGGUGAGUAACACGUGAGCAACCUGCCCCUGACUCUGGAAUAAGCGCUGGAAACGGCGUCUAAUACUGGAUACGAGAAGGGUCCGCAUGGGCACUUUCUGGUAAGUUUUUCGGUUGGGGAUGGGCUCGCGGCCUAUCAGCUUGUUGGUGAGGUAAUGGCUCACCAAGGCGACGACGGGUAGCCGGCCUGAGAGGGCGACCGGCCACACUGGGACUGAGACACGGCCCAGACUCCUACGGGAGGCAGCAGUGGGGAAUAUUGCACAAUGGGCGAAAGCCUGAUGCAGCGACGCCGCGUGAGGGAUGACGGCCUUCGGGUUGUAAACCUCUUUCAGCAGGGAAGAAGCGAAAGUGACGGUACCUGCAGAAGAAGCACCGGCUAACUACGUG